AUUUGCUGUAAGAGAAAUGCGAACUCUAGAUUCUUAAUUGCUUCUGCUUAUGUUUCAUUAAUUUAAUAUUUUCAUUCAAUAAAAUUCUACGCUUUUACAAUUGGUAUCAGAGUCGUGUUCCUCAGAACCAUUCUUUGCAUAAAAUGUUACAAUCAUUCGCUACAACUCAACUCUCAACCCUUCAUUGUGAAAUGCAGGUACAAGAAUUUGAGGAGAUGAAGUUCCCCACUAAACAGAGCAGCUUAGGAGGCGUCACUUUGGGAGGAUGCCGAUCGACACUUCAAGAUGUUGGAGAGACUCAUCUCUUCCCAAUAGGCCAGGAAAUUAAGGAGGGAGCUGUUUGAUCCUCCACUACUGUCACAGUAUGAACCACCCCUAUAAUGAGAGAAUCUAAUGCCACUUCGGUACAACCCUACUCAUCCGCUGUAUCAUCCGACACCACUACAGUACAAUCCGGUGCCCCCACCAUACAACCAGGUACCGCUACAAGGUCACCCUGUCCCUCACCAGCAUAAUCCAGUUCCUCUUCAAUAGGACCCAACUCCACCCAUAAUGGUUCCAAACUACAUUGAGAGGUACAAAAGACUUAACCCGUCUACUUUUAUAUGGGCAUCCACUUUUAAAAAAGCUAAGUACUGGUUAGUAGAGACAGGGAAGGUCUUCACAACUCUUGUGACAAAAAGUCAUUCUUGCCACUUACAUGUUCGUGGAUGAGGCAGCACG
rnacentral:lncRNA from 1 species